AUGCCUCCACACAGCCUUGAACAACCCAACACGACAUCCCGCCAUGGCCUUGCACGACCUGCUGUGACCCAGUUCACAGCCUGCCACGUCCCAUCAUGGCCUCAUGGGUCCCAUCAUGGCCCCAUCACAUCCUCGUGUGUCCUGUCACCGCCCCACUAUGGCUUCAUGCACCCCACCAUGGAUCUGCACAUCCCACCACGGCCUUAUCGUGGCUUUGCAUGUUCUGUUUUUGCUUUGCAUGACCCAUCACGGCCUCGCACAUCUCAUCACGGCCUCACACGUCCCACCACAGCCUCACACGUCCCACCACGGCCUCACACGUCCCACCACGGCCUCCUACAUCCAACCUCAGCCUCCCACGUCCCACCACAUCCCCCCGUAUCCCCCCCACAGCCCACCACACCCCAGCCCCGGCGGGCGCUGACCCUCGUUCUCGUCCUUGAAGAGCUCCUCAGUGCCAAACUUGAGGAUGUCAUCAAGCUCCUGCUUGGACAUGGAGCCGGCCUUGGAGCCCAGCCCCGGGCGCACCACCAGGUGCGUCAGCAUCAUCUUGCGCUUGGCCACCUGCGUGAUGCGUUCCUCCACCGACGCGCGCGUGACGAACCGGUAGAUCAUCACCUUGUUGGCCUGGCCGAUGCGGUGCGCCCGGCUGAAGGCCUGCGGGGACGGGGAGGCAGCAGGGGACGUGUCAGAGCGGGGACACCGAGGUGGAGGACGCGUCGAGCAGCGCCACGGGGGAAGGGGACAGGUUGGGGGACGUCAGAAAGGACAUUGUGGAGAGGGGGGAGGUGAGGGGAGCGUUGGAGCAGGGAUGUGGUGGUGGGGAUAUGGUCUUGGAGGAUGUGGUGGUGGGGACGUGGUGAUGGGGACGUGUUGAGGAACCUGAGUGUGGCCAGAGCCAUGGUGGGACCCGGUGCGGUGUAGCAGCGGCCGGGGAGGGGGCCGUGGUGGCACGAGGUGACAACCGGGGACAGGAAGGUGACAAGGCCAAGGGGACAGGGCAGAGGAGGUGGGGAGGGGGCCGCGGAGGACGUGGGGGGGGGGCACACCUGGAUGUCGUUGUGGGGGUUCCAGUCGGAGUCGAAGAUGACGACGGUGUCGGCGGUCGCCAGGUUGAUGCCGAGGCCCCCGGCCCGCGUCGACAGCAGGAAGCAGAACUGCUGUGCCCCCGGCGCUGCCCCCCCGGCGUCAGCACGGGGGGUGACAGCCCCCUGACAAAGCCCACGGCCCCCCCAUGCCUCCCCCGGCAUCAUCAG
rnacentral:lncRNA from 1 species